AACGCGAAGAACCUUACCUGGGUUUGACAUGCUAGGAUUAUCCCUGUGAAAGCAGGGUAGGCCCUUCGGGGUACAACUAGUACAGGUGCUGCAUGGCUGUCGUCAGCUCGUGUCGUGAGAUGUCGGGUUAAGUCCCUUAACGAGCGAAACCUUUGCCCUUAGUUACCAUCGAGUAAAGUCGGGGACUCUAAGGGGACUGCCGGUGUCAAACCGGAGGAAGGUGGAGAUGACGUCAAGUCCUCAUGGCCUUUAUGCCCAGGGCUACACACGUGCUACAAUGGAGUGCAUAAAGCGAACCUAAAGCGCAAGCUCAUGGAAAUCGCAAAAAUCACUCCCCAGUUCAGAUCGGAGGCUGCAACUCGCCUCCGUGAAGUUGGAAUCGCUAGUAAUCGCGGAUCAGCUACGCCGCGGUGAAUGUGUUCCCGGGCCUUGUACACACCGGCUAC
rnacentral:rRNA from 1 species